CAGAGCCGCAGUGAUCUCUCUAUGGAUCAACUUUCUGAUUUGCCCACAGAAACAUACCACAUUUUUUAGCGUGACAAGGAAACAAGAAAAUAUUUCCUUCAGCAUUUCCAUUUGCAUUUACGGAUCACGCCAAGACUCGCUGCUCCGAGGCCAAAACAACCGCGGAGAAGCGGAGCCGGCGGAGCUCCCAGCGCCCCGUGACCGCGGCGCCCCGGGCACAGGCGGGCACGGGCACGGCUGCGGUCGGUCCCGGAGCUCGGUCACCGCCUGUUCCACGGCCACUGACAACGCGUGAAACCGAACAGCUCCUCGGCUCGCUUCACCCGCCAGCGCGGCCGGACUCUGUUAUGUUCGAGGCGAUGGUUCAAGGAGUGAAAUUACAUACACCAAGUCUCAUACCAAUUAAGACUUUAACCACUAAUUGCCAAGAAUAAAAGAAAAGCAACCUGAAGUGGAAAUAAGACAGCUUACAUCACGUCCAGCUUCACCAGGAGCACCAUUUGGACCAGGAGAACCCACAGGACCAGAGGGACCACGGGCACCAGGAGGACCAGAAACACCCAGGGGACCAGGUUCACCCUAAUAUAGGAACAGUGAGAUGCCUGGAAGACCACGUUCUCCCCGAGAACCAGGCAGACCAAGAAUACCAGGAGCACCAAGAAUACCCUGAGGACCUGGGGUACCAGGAGGACCCUGUGAUGUGAAGAGAAUAAUUUUUAUAUUACAAGACAAUAAUAAAUUUAACAUACAUAUCUGUCAA